GCCGGUAACAAUAUAGCAUGAUGAAUGCACCAGUUCCCAGGGGUUCACUGAAGUUGAGCAACGUUGCGCGAGGUUGGUAUCCAGAUCGGUGACCCUUAUUCGCGUGCUGCUGGAA
rnacentral:rRNA from 1 species